rnacentral:lncRNA from 1 species
GAUGAACAAGGUCAACCCCUGCUAUCAGCGAGUUCUCGCUGGACCAGUGUUCCUUUCUGGCAGACUGGUUUCACAGAUGGGAUAUGAACAAGGAUGGCUUGCUUGAUGGGCAUGAAAUCCAGAACAUGUUUCAAUGCUGCGAAUUCCCAUCAGCCCAAGUGGCUUGCAUGCUAUCGUCCAAUACUUUGACGAGGACAUGGACGGAAAACUCAACUUCCGCGAGUUCUUGCUCAUGUGGCGUGCAGCGAUAUACGACCCAGACUUUCAACGCACCGCCGAGGGGUGCAAGAUGGUCAAGCACAUGCGAAUCCACAACUUGCUACCCUACCAAGCAAAGAAGCCAGCAUGGGUA